GAUUCAUAAUAACUUCUCGAAUCGCACGGCCUUGCGCCGGCGAUGGUUCAUUCAAAUUUCUGCCCUAUCAACUUUCGACGGCUGGGUCUUGGCCAGCCAUGGUGACAACGGGUAACGGAGGGUUAGGGCUCGACCCCGGAGAAGGAGCCUGAGAAACGGCUACUACAUCCAAGGAAGGCAGCAGGCGCGCAAAUUACCCAAUCCCGACACGGGGAGGUAGUGACAAUAAAUACUAAUACAGGGCUCUUUUGGGUCUUGUAAUUGGAAUGAGUACAAUUUAAAUCCCUUAACGAGGAACAAUUGGAGGGCAAGUCUGGUGCCAGCAGCCGCGGUAAUUCCAGCUCCAAUAGCGUAUAUUAAAGUUGUUGAGGUUAAAAAGCUCGUAGUUGAACCUUGGGCCUAGCCGGCCGGUCCGCCUCACCGCGUGCACUGGCUCGGCUGGGCCUUUCCUUCUGGAGAACCGCAUGCCCUUCACUGGGUGUGUCGGGGAACCAGGACUUUUAC
rnacentral:rRNA from 1 species